CCUACCCCAAGGGCACUGCAUGUGUGGUCGCUGUGUUACAUGCUCUUCAGUAGGUUGCAGAGAGGAGAAAGGCUAUGUUUAGGCCCAGUGUUGUGACCUAUGAACAUCUGAAUGAUUAAUAGUCUAACAUU